GUGAUUGCUUUUAGGCUUACAGAUUGGAUCUGGUAGCAUGAAUCGGAGGUAUUUAAUGGUGUAUUUAGUAACCGCAAACACAUACCACUUUCCACAGCUAUAACAUUCAUCAAUAUCAGAUACCACGUACAGCAAAACCUUUCAUCAAAAACAUUCAGCAAAAGCAUACAACAUACAGCCAAAACAUUUAGCAACCAAAUACUGAUUACACAUACAGCAAUAAACAAUCCAAUCGUCAAACACAUACAGCUAAAACAUUCAGCUACCAUAUAU